CGCGGCCUAUCAGCUUGUUGGUGGGGUAACGGCCUACCAAGGCAUCGACGGGUAGCUGGUCUGAGAGGAUGAUCAGCCACACUGGGACUGAGACACGGCCCAGACUCCUACGGGAGGCAGCAGUGGGGAAUAUUGCGCAAUGGGCGAAAGCCUGACGCAGCAACGCCGCGUGUGGGAUGACAGCUUUCGGGUUGUAAACCACUUUCAGUGCGACGAAAAUGACGGUAGUCACAGAAGAAGGUCCGGCCAGCUACGUGCCAGCAGCCGCGGUAACACGUAGGGACCAAGCGUUGUCCGGAUUUAUUGGGCGUAAAGAGCUCGUAGGCGGUUCCGUAAGUCGGAUGUGAAAACUCAGGGCUCAACCCUGAGACGCCAUCUGAUACUGCGGUGACUAGAGUCCGGUAGGGGAGCAUGGAAUACCUGGUGUAGCGGUGGAAUGCGCAGAUAUCAGGAGGAACACCAAUGGCGAAGGCAGUGCUCUGGGCCGGAACUGACGCUGAGGAGCGAAAGCAUGGGGAGCAAACAGGAUUAGAUACCCUGGUAGUCCAUGCCGUAAACGUUGGGCACUAGGUGUGGGAUCUUCUAACGGAUUCCGUGCCGUAGCUAACGCAUUAAGUGCCCCGCCUGGG
rnacentral:rRNA from 1 species